rnacentral:sRNA from 1 species
UUUGGGUGAGGUAAUGGAUAUGACAAGAAGGAGGACGCAUAGACAGCCGUUACUAAACCGGGUGGAAGAGGAAAUAGAGAAACAUAAGCAAAACCGGAUUCAUGGUGAAUAUGAUGUUGCGUUAUGGAAGGGGAAGAA